GCUGGGCAUGGUGGUGCGUGCCUGUAAUCCCAGCUACUCAGGAGGCUGAGGCAGGAGAAUUGCCUGAACCCAGGAGGCUGGGGUUGCAGUGAGUCGAGAUCGCACCAUUGCACUCCAGCCUGGGUAACAAGAGCGAAACUCUGACUCAA
rnacentral:sRNA from 1 species